rnacentral:rRNA from 1 species
UACGUAGGUGGCAAGCGUUGUCCGGAAUUAUUGGGCGUAAAGCGCGCGCAGGCGGCCUCUUAAGUCUGAUGUGAAAGCCCCCCGGCUCAACCCGGGGGAGGGCCAUUGGAAACUGGGAGGCUUGAGUAUAGGAGAGAAGAGUGGAAUUCCACGUGUAGCGGUGAAAUGCGUAGAGAUGUGGAGGAACACCAGUGGCGAAGGCGACUCUUUGGCCUAUAACUGACGCUGAGGCGCGGAAGCGUGGGGAGCAAACAGG